rnacentral:tRNA from 1 species
GGGGCUGUAGCUCAGUGGUAGAGCACUUUCCUAGCACGUAUGAACACUGGGUUCAAUUCUCAGCACCUUA